UACGAAGGGGGCUAGCGUUGCUCGGAAUUACUGGGCGUAAAGCGCGUGUAGGCGGCUAUGUAAGUCGGGCGUGAAAUCCCACGGCUCAACCGUGGAAGUGCACUCGAAACUGCAUAGCUAGAGUCCUGGAGAGGAAGGUGGAAUGCUUGGUGUAGAGGUGAAAUUCGUAGAUAUCAAGCGGAACACCGGUGGCGAAGGCGGCCUUCUGGACAGUGACUGACGCUGAGACGCGAAAGCGUGGGGAGCAAACAGG
rnacentral:rRNA from 1 species